UUUCCAAGAUAUUUUUGUAAAAUUCUGAGCACGGAAACAUUUAGAUCAUGCUAAUCUUGAGAAGCUUAUGAAGGAAUAGAGGAGGAAGAGAUGUUCCAGUCAAUCUCAUUUGCAUUUAUUUUCAUUCAGCCCCUGCCUUUGACACUGGCCAGUGGGUGAGUCCAGCAGCGCCAUCUAGCAGGGACAACGGACACGCGGCCGCAAACCAGCUACCCCUUCCCUCCUCACUUCAUAUCCUCUUCUCUUGGAUCCCCUCUCUCGUCUAGCUCGCCGGGGGCACCGCCGCUCGCCGUUGCAACGCCGGUCACAGGAACCAGCGGGAUUCGCCAGCCCUCAGUCCGGAUCGACGUCCAUGCCUCCAGCUCCGACAUGCACGCCAGCUGGACGGCGCCGUGAAUCGCCUCGUUUUCUGGAACCUCUUGGACCGAGGCCGCCUUCCUCGGUUUCGUCGGCCGUCGCGGUCGUCAUCCUCACCGAACAGCUACAGGGACUGUGACGGGCUCCGCUUUGUCCACAUCUUCUCUGGACCACUGAUUCGAAGCCGUGGAUCCCUCCUACUUCUUCCUGACGCUGACCGCCAUUACCGCUGUCCAGAACUCGUUGCUCUGCUCUGUCCGACCUCGCCACUAACAGCAGGGUGAGAAAUCGCCGCCGCUGUUGGUGUUGUUUGCUACUUGCCGCUGUCGCUGCAUGCUGCUGGCCACUUGUUGCUUGCCGUUGAUGCUCGAUGAUGUUAGCCGUGACUUGCCUGUAGAUGAGAGAAAGAGAGAUUGAUUUGCUAGUGCAAGUAUCUAAUGAGCCAGAUGCCAGCUGGUUUGAUCUUUUCAGCAAACGCUAUUGGGAAGUUGUGAGUGUGGGGAGCGACACUGUUUUUGUUUCAGUAACUUGCUGGCAUAAAUGCUGUCGUGUACUACUCUACGUCCAUGUUCCACAGUACAGGCAUUGCAUCUAAUGUUGCAGCGAGUGCUCUUGUUCGGUGAUGCCAAUGUUUUUGGCACCAUGAUUGCAUCUCCACUGAUGGUCAAGCAAGGAAGGAAGAGCCUUCUCAUAACAAGAUUAUCUGGAAUGGUGCGUCGAUGUUACUCUUGUCAUUGUCCUUCACCUGGAAGGCUUUAGCACCUUAUUAUGGCACUCUUGUUGUUGUUGGCACUGUCCUGGCCUGAUGAUUCCGCUCCAGAUGACGCGCUUGAGCUCAAGUGGGAGUUCGACGAGGACUCACGCCGAU